UACGUAGGGUGCGAGCGUUGUCCGGAAUUAUUGGGCGUAAAGAGCUCGUAGGCGGUUUGUUGCGUCGGCCGUGAAAACCUGCAGCUUAACUGUGGGCCUGCGGCCGAUACGGGCAGACUUGAGUUCGGUAGGGGAGACUGGAAUUCCUGGUGUAGCGGUGAAAUGCGCAGAUAUCAGGAGGAACACCGGUGGCGAAGGCGGUUCUCUGGGCAUGAUCUGACGCUGAGGAGCGAAAGUGUGGGGAGCGAACAGG
rnacentral:rRNA from 1 species